rnacentral:rRNA from 1 species
AAUAGAUACCCCGGUAGUCCACGCCGUAAACGAUGAGUGCUAAGUGUUAGGGGGUUUCCGCCCCUUAGUGCUGCAGCUAACGCAUUAAGCACUCCGCCUGGGGAGUACGGUCGCAAGACUGAAACUCAAAGGAAUUGACGGGGGCCCGCACAAGCGGUGGAGCAUGUGGUUUAAUUCGAAGCAACGCGAAGAACCUUACCAGGUCUUGACAUCCCAUUGACCGUUAUGGAGAUAUAGCUUUUCCUUCGGGGACAGCGGUGACAGGUGGUGCAUGGUUGUCGUCAGCUCGUGUCGUGAGAUGUUGGGUUAAGUCCCGCAACGAGCGCAACCCUUGUUCUUAGUUGCCAUCAUUUAGUUGGGCACUCUAAGGAGACUGCCGGUGACAAACCGGAGGAAGGUGGGGAUGACGUCAAAUCAUCAUGCCCCUUAUGACCUGGGCUACACACGUGCUACAAUGGACGGUACAAACGGUUGCCAACCCGCGAGGGGGAGCUAAUCCGAUAAAACCGUUCUCAGUUCGGAUUGUAGGCUGCAACUCGCCUAC